rnacentral:rRNA from 1 species
GAUGAACGCUGGCGGCGUGCCUAAUACAUGCAAGUCGAGCGAACGGACGAGAAGCUUGCUUCUCUGAUGUUAGCGGCGGACGGGUGAGUAACACGUGGAUAACCUACCUAUAAGACUGGGAUAACUUCGGGAAACCGGAGCUAAUACCGGAUAAUAUUUUGAACCGCAUGGUUCAAUAGUGAAAGACGGCCUUGCUGUCACUUAUCGAUGGAUCCGCGCUGCAUUAGCUAGUUGGUAAGGUAACGGCUUACCAAGGCAACGAUGCAUAGCCGACCUGAGAGGGUGGUCGGCCACACUGGAACUGAGACACGGUCCAGACUCCUACGGGAGGCAGCAGUAGGGAAUCUUCCGCAAUGGGCGAAAGCCUGACGGAGCAACGCCGCGUGAGUGAUGAAGGUCUUCGGAUCGUAAAACUCUGUUAUUAGGGAAGAACAUAUGUGUAAGUAACUGUGCACAUCUUGACGGUACCUAAUCAGAAAGCCACGGCUAACUACGUG